rnacentral:piRNA from 1 species
UGUGAGAUUUUUCAUAUUACCUUUGGAAGU